AGAGCAGCGCCACUCGGAGACGGGAUGGUUCCGUGGGUUGUGUAGGAGCACAGGAAAGCGGAGGCCGGGCCACACAGCACCGCGAACCCAGCAGCCCAAGCCCAGCGGACCAAGCAGCCACCCCCGGGAGCCGCCACUGCCUGGAGCAGUCACCGGCGGGAGCCUCCAUUUCCAGGAGCCGCCACCGCUGGGAGCUGCCACAGCCGGGAGCCGCCACCGCCAGAAGCCUCCAUCUCCCGGGAGCCGCCAUCGCUGGGAGCCGCCACCUCCAGGAGCCGCCACGGCCACCGGGAGCCGUCACCGCAGGGAACCUCCAUCUCCUGGAGCCACCACCGCUGGGAGCUGCCACCUCAGGAGCAGCGGCAGCACUGGGACCCGCCGGGCCCCCUCGCACCCAGCGGCUCUGCAGGUGCCCUACACCCGGGAGGGGCCGAGGGAGCCCACGCCGCCGGCGGGACCGCAGGGAUUUGCUGGCUCUUUCUGCGCUGAGGGGUCGCGGCGCGGGGCGGAGGUCGGGUGGGGAAAGCUGGAGCCGCAGGGAACGCGCAGGACAGGCUCGCUGGGUGUCGACUCUAGCCCUCUGUCAGAGACCUUGGGACCCGCGCAAUGUGGCAGUGGAAGGCGCAGGGUCUGACCCCGGCCGCGGCCGCCGCAGCAGCUGAUCUGUCAACCCCGGCCAGAGCCGAGCCGCCUGAGGCCUGCAGUGUUCUCCAUCACCACUGUGAUGGCAUCCGCUUCCGUGACUGUCACUGUGCACCCUCCGCCUGUCCUGGGCCCACGCAGGACCCCCAAGCGGGGCUCUGCACAGGCCAGGAGGGCUACCCAGGGACUGACCACGGGUUGUUCAUGGGUCCUCACCUGCUUUUCCAGGUCCAGGGUGAGAGGACGAAUUUGAAGGUAGAAGUCACAGAGUUGCAGGAUGUGGAGUGCGAGGAGUGGCCCCGGGGAAGCAGCUCCAACUGAGGGUGAUUAAAAUCUGAAGCAGGCCGGGCGCAGUGGCUCACAUCUGUAAUCCCAGCACUUUUGGAGGCCGAGGCAGGUGGAUCACCUGACGUCAGGAGUUCGAGACCAGCCUGGGCAACAUGGUGAAACCCCGUCUCUGCUAAAAAUACAAAGUUAGCCAGGCAUGAUGGCGAGCGCCUGUAAUCCCAGCUACUAGGGAGGCUGAGGCACGAGAAUCGCUUGAACCUGGGAGGGGGAGGUUGCAGUCACCUGAGAUUGGACCAUUGCACUCCAGCCUGGGCAACAAGAGCGAAACUCCAUCUCAGAAAAAAAAAAAAAAAAAAAAAAUCUAAAGUAAAGAGGUCAAAGAUCGGAAACCCCUGCCCCUACACCUUUCAAGAACUGCUUGGUAAGAACUGCUCGUAGUUACGGUAAAGAUGCCUUGAGCCAGGAUAGCAGUACAUUGUUGCUGUAGCUGGUUGUAUUAUUUUGUUAAACAUUUCCAUAAAGAUUUAAGAGGUGUACACAUGUGUAAUAUAGGAAGGAAGGAUGUAAAGUAGUAUGAUCUGGGGCUUCUCCACUCCUGCCCCAGAUUGUGGAGGCUGCAGUGGGGCCUCUCCUUAUUUUUGCAUUGGUCUCUGUGCCACAACCAAGCUUCACUUCGUCUUGAAUGUCAGCAUAUGUUGCUGCUGCUUAAAUAUUUUAUAAUUUCAAAAAAUUAGCUGGGCGUGGUGGUGGGCGCCAGUAGUCCCAGCUACUCGGGAGGCUGAGGCAGGAGAAUGGCCGUUAACCUGGGAGGUGGAGCUUGCAGUGAGCCGAGAUUGCGCCACCGCACUCCAGCCUGGGUGAAAGAGCAAGACUCCGUCUCAAGAAAAAUAAUAAAAUAAAAUAAAAUAAAAUAUAUUGUAUAAUUUACUUGUAUAAUUCUAUGUGAAUGUUGCUUAUGUAAUAGGAUUAUUUUGUAAAGCUUUCUGUUUAAAUAUUUUAAAUUUGCAUAUCACAACCCUGUGGUAGUAUGAAAUGUUACUGGUUUUUUUUUUUCUUUUUUCUUUUUUCUUUUUAUUUUUUAUAUUAUUAUUAUACUUUAAGUUCUAGGGUACAUGUGCACAACGUGCAGUUUUGUUACAUAGGUAUACAUGUGCCAUAUUGGUUUGCUGCACCCAUCAACUCGUCCUUUACAUUAGGUAUUUCUCCCAAUGCUAUCCCUCCCCCAGCCCCCCACCCGAAAUGUUACUGUUAACUUUCAAUCAUGUUAUGCAUCAUAACGUUUUUUGUUUAAUGAACAGAUAUGAGCAAAGGACGUUAAUCCCGGUAUCUUCUCUAGUUGUAGUUGUGUGUGGUUCUCGAGUGGCUGCGCAUGUGAACACGUGUGAUUUCUCAGUGUACUGUACUGUGAUUUGUUUUUAUUGCUUGUUUUGUUUCCCCUCAGUGUCUGUAACCCUUAGCAGGCUCUGACCUAGUCAGGCUAGAAGAAGCAUAAGGAUCUUUUAUUGCUUUGUGCUGGGUGAGGGCUGGCCCUAAACAUCUGCCUAAUCCUUUCAACGGGCCCAGGAAAAGCCAGACUGGCAUCAUGUCCACAGCAUCGCUUAAUAUCGUUGGUUGUCAUCCAGACACCUCAACUUGUGCUGCAGAGGAAAUAAGUUCCUUCUCACGGAUCAUCAUGAUGGAUAUUGAAACCUCAGGGUGCAGAACUAACACCUGUUCAUCAUCGUGGAUGUUAAAGAAUUGGGUAACAUGCCAAGCGGUAAGCCUUGGAUGGGCCAUGAGAAUAUCCUCUAAAAAGCACGCAGUAUUGUGCCCCUCUCACAACCAACACACACAUGACCUGUCCCCUGGCACCCCCAAAUUUAAGAGUGGAUUGCAAAUCUUUUGGAGACCAUGGCCCUGCUACAUGUAGAAAAACCUGUUCUGCUAUUCCUGGGCCCACAAUAAACCCAGAAAUUAUGUUUUGAGUUACUGUGAUUUAAACUCCCUCUCUUCUUAAAUGGAACAGCUCAUUGGGGCUUUCUGGAUCUGUUUCCAUUUUUCUUUAAAAAUAAAUUGUGAGCAUGCAUUGUGGUGAUGCAGAGGCAGGCAUUCUGUGAGAUACAAGCUCCAGAAGGAUUCUCCUCAAUGUGUCAGUGUUGGGAUGCACACUUCCUAAAUAAAUCAUCAUUGUCUCCGUCUUCUCCAUUAAUAGCGCUCUUUCAGUGUGACAUGGAAAAGCAGGAUGGCAUACACCCCACUGAAGGAUGUAGGCGGAGGCAGAUCUCUCAACCAGGCAUAUUGCUUCUGUACUGCUCUUCUUUUGCUCUAAGGCCUCUGACACCUUCUCAACGGCCUGCUUCUCAACCUGCAGCAGCUGCUGGAUGCCCUGUGACUGACUGGCUAUGACAGUGGUGAUUCUGAGACCAAGGCAAGUGGCCUAAAUCAGUUCAAAGGACCCUGGGGUCAGCUGACCCACCCAACCACAGUCUGCACCUGCGCCCUGCCACCUCUCAUUUCUUACAAGUAAGUCACCACCACAC
rnacentral:lncRNA from 1 species